rnacentral:lncRNA from 12 species
UCCUUCUUAAUCCAUGGCCCACAGCACCGCCGCGCUCGCCGGGAUGAGGGGCCGCGCCGCACGAGGGUAGCCGCCGCAGGGUUGCGGGCCUAGAACUCGGCCGUCAGGGGUGGGGGUGGGGGUGGGGUGGGGGUGGGGUGGGGUGGGGGCGGGGGGGCGGCGCUCCCACGUCCGGAUGGGCCUACACAAAAGCCGGCCGGGCGCUCGGGGCCUCUCCGCGGGCUGGCGGGUGGCGAGGCCCGCGGCCUGGGCUCCUCCUCAGGCCCCUCCGGGGCAACGCGAGCGGCGACGACGGCGACGACGCUUCCCGGGCCCAGUUCCUCUCGGCCCACGACUCCCCAUCCACCGCCUACCCAGGCCGCCUGAGACGCUCUCCUCAGCCGUGGGCCCCAGGAAGAGAGGCUGAAGGCGAGCACACAAACACACCUCCCUUCGUUACCCCCGGCCGUAAGAUGGCCGCAGCCGCCGCGCCGGGGCGGCGAGGUCUCCGCGACCGUCAGGCGCCCCGAGGCCCUUCGCUCCCUUUGUGCAGCCGCCGCCGCCGCUACGGCCGUCCGCCCACCCGCCCAGGCGUGAAUGCAUCAGCGGAGGCCUUCGCGACUGUCCAUGUGGACAGGGUUCUUUGUCUCCAGUUAAUAACAGCAAAAGCAAUAUACUAG